rnacentral:rRNA from 1 species
GACGAACGCUGGCGGCGUGCUUAACACAUGCAAGUCGAACGGAAAGGCCCUGCUUUUGUGGGGUGCUCGAGUGGCGAACGGGUGAGUAACACGUGAGUAACCUGCCCUUGACUUUGGGAUAACUUCAGGAAACUGGGGCUAAUACCGGAUAGGAGCUCCUGCUGCAUGGUGGGGGUUGGAAAGUUUCGGCGGUUGGGGAUGGACUCGCGGCUUAUCAGCUUGUUGGUGGGGUAGUGGCUUACCAAGGCUUUGACGGGUAGCCGGCCUGAGAGGGUGACCGGCCGCAGUGGGAGAGAGAUACGGCCGGGAGCCCUACGGGAGAGAGAAGGGGGGGAGUAUGCCGAAGGGGGGGAAGCCGGGUGGAGCAUGCCCGGGUGGGGGAUGGAGGCUUUGGGGGUGAAAGCGGCUUUCGCCUGGGACGAAGGGUGGGGAAGGGAAAGGGAUAAGAAGGAACGGGUAAACAAGGG